rnacentral:misc_RNA from 1 species
GCGCUGGCGCGGGUGUGCCCCCAUGCACGUCUGCUGUUCCGGCCCUAACGCCCGCUCCUCGUUGAAGCAUGUACGCCCUGCACCAACUUCGCACCAGCGAAGAAGAAAGACGGUCGAGGACAGGGGGGAGGGGGGAGGAGGGUGGUAAGGCUUGCUCGGCAGGAUGACGCCGACGGGGCACCACCACCACCGCCCCGCCGCGGCAACCGCAGCAGCGACCGCGGAGCUCGAAGCUGCGUCUGCCUGAGCUUCUCGGAUGCAUCUCUGUCGCCGUCUCCGCGUCUACGCUACUCACUGCGACCGUCCUCGACGUUCCGCCAGAGGGAUCUGCACGCGUACGUCGGCACACGCUUGCACGCCGCCCGAACGGCGGUCCUCGCCAUCCCGCUGGGCCUCGCCACCCUUGCGUCUGUCAUGUUCAGCCUCGGCCGCCUGGCGCUGACGCUCGUCGUCGCACUGGCCAUAAUCGUCCCCCUCCGCCGCCGUACAUUUUCACGCGCAGAUGUGGGCGCAAAAUGCACAGAUACAGAAAACCCCCUCGCGCCACGGCAGAUGGCGGCUGUUGGAGGGAGGCGGGGGGGGGGGGUUGUAGGUCUGCUUCGUGGUGGUGGUGGUGGCUCUGUGAUGGAGUGCGGCUUCCCCUUCUGCCUUUACCCCCAUCCCCUCAUCACGCACAUGCACCCUCUGUGUCGCUGUUCGGCCUUUUCGGCGCUGUCAUCCCUCAUCUCUGUCUGUCUCGUGCCACUCACCAUCCACCACGGCUUUCACAGACCCUCAUGCGCUGAUCACAAGCUUCUUACACGCAGACCACCCCUGCCCACCCGGCGCACGCAGGUGCGUCGGAUCGCCUGCAGGGUGCGACACGUUGCUGGAACACAUGAGCACGCGCACAUAAAUAGGUGCGUGCCCCGCGCCACCACCAUCAUCACCAUCUCCGCUGCCUCCUCCUCCUCCCUCUCGCCCAUCUUCCACCGCUUCCUUCACGCUUAG